UGUGUUUUUCACAGUUUUUGAAUUUCAAUUGACUCCAGAGGAAAUGAAAGUCCUCGAGGGCCUGAACAGAAAUAUCUGAUAUUUGACUCCAGAUCACAGAGACCUGGGCUCUGGCCCUGCCUUCUACUGGAAGAUCCUGAAGGUGGAGUUGCCCUGGGAGCGUCCUCAGCCUCUGCUGAAUGCACCUGAGCAACUCAGGCUUGGCGGAAGCUGCAGCCACAGCUCAGAAAGUAAAGCACGACAUAUCUGUCAUUUUCUGAAAAGAAAUAAAAGGAUUCUCUGUUUCAAUAUUUA